UUUUCAUGCCUAGCGGUGCGGCUUGGCUCCUACCCGGCGUAUUGCACUCGAGACGCAUCCCUUUAUUGGGCUAGUUGAGACGUGUGGUUCGUUGGGCGGUGCUGGGCUUAGCUAACGUGACGGCGUAUGAGUGGUAAUUGGGUUGUAUGCGUCGGCAGGCUCCGUGCUCUGGCAUCGAACUGUCGACUCGCACCCCGCUUCAGUGAUGCGUCGAGAAUUUUGCUUGGGCGAGCGUUGGGUUCCUGUUUUGGCUGCCUGCUGUAAAGGAAUGUUGCCUCUCGUUGUCCCUUUCGUCCUCUGGCCGCCCUCGGCGGCAGGAGGACGACACCGUAGCGGCGCUCGUGUCCCGAACAAGCCACACGCGUUGUGGGAUUGCGACGGUCCUCGAGCUGCCCGCUCGACGUCUCGGAUGCGGAACACUCAAAGGGGCGGUGGGUCUCAACGGCCUCCGAUCGCCCGUUCGAAAGCCUUUGUCGCUUGACGCGAACGACUGCCGCGCCCGUUGCGGGCUCUCGACCUUCAAGGUCGUCCGUCCCGCGCGGCGCCGGCGUCGAAGAGGAAUGC
rnacentral:misc_RNA from 1 species